CUUUAGCCCCAGAACUCACACCUCAGAAGUGCUCCUGGGACCCCUCCUUCUGAUUGGCUCCUCCCAGAACCUCCAUUCAAAGAGGUGUCCAGACUUGUUCUGCUGGUCUUCUCCAGUACCAGAAUGUAAUAUGAGGAAAACUUCAGGGGAUGGAACAAAGUAACAGAUGUAAACAACAUUUUCUAAGAACUCUUCUUAUUGACACAGGACAUUGAAUUGGCCAACACAUUUGCCUCGUUAAAG
rnacentral:lncRNA from 1 species